CUACGUAGGGCGCGAGCGUUGUCCGGAAUUAUUGGGCGUAAAGAGCUUGUAGGCGGUCUGUUGCGUCGGAAGUGAAAACUCAGGGCUUAACCCUGAGCCUGCUUUCGAUACGGGCAGACUUGAGGGAUGUAGGGGAGAACGGAAUUACUGGUGGCGCGGUGGAAUGCGCAGAUAUCAGGAGGAACACCAGUGGCGAAGGCGGUUCUCUGGACAUUUCCUGACGCUGAGAAGCGAAAGCGUGGGGAGCAAACAGGCUUAGAUACCCUGGUAGUCCACGCCGUAAACGGUGGGCACUAGGUGUGGGACCCAUUCCACGGGUUCCGUGCCGAAGCUAACGCAUUAAGUGCCCCGCCUGGGGAGUACGGCCGCAAGGCUAAAACUUAAAGGAAUUGACGGGG
rnacentral:rRNA from 1 species